ensembl:lncRNA
CUCCCUGCCUCUGGGGAAACUGAGCCAGGAGGAGAACAGGAGCGACGCCAAAUGAGCCGUCGCAGAGAAAGACGUAUAGAUGAAUAUCUGAACCGUAAAAAAGUUAUAAAAGUGACAUUAAAGACGAUGUGUAUGCAAAUGUUUCAUGGUCUAACAUAGAACUGUAAGACCCACGAAGAAGUCCUAGUAACAGAGAAAAUGUCAACAAAGCUUAGAAUGCUUGAAUCCAUGUACUGCUUUUCUUCGCACUGUUGUGGUGUUGGGAUUGCUUUCCUUGCAGACCUGCAUGAACAGUGCCCCCCAAAUCACCUCGUCAGAAGCCAUCGGACCUGUGUGAGGGCGAGACUCGGAACACCGGGGACGACCGGGUGCAGGGCGUCAGCAGCGUGGCCCUUAACAAGUGACUAGCUCCCGGCUCACCCAGGCCUCCGGGCUCGCCCAGGCCUCCGGAAAGGAGA